rnacentral:tRNA from 1 species
GCCCUAAUAGCUUAAAAAUAAAGCAUUGUUCUUGUAAUCCAAAGCUGGGUCAACCCCUUAGAG